GCCGGUUAAUUUCCUGGCCAUGACUUUUUCCGCAUUGCGUUCCCAGCCAAGCAUUAUUACCGCCAUUCCUGAUUGGCGGGUUUGCUGACGACUGCACCCAACCCGCCCUAGAGGCGGGUUUU
rnacentral:sRNA from 1 species